rnacentral:rRNA from 1 species
CGAGAAAGCCCGCAAGGGUGAGUAAAGCGGCGCACGGGUGUGUAAUACGUGGGUAAUUUGCCCUAGAGUUCGGAAUAACUCGUCGAAAGGCGUGCUAAUGCUGGAUGAGAUUUUGGGAGCUUCGGCCUUUGCGGGAAAAGGUGGUUUUUGUACACAAGCUAUCGUUCUGGGAUGAGUUUGCGGUCCAUCAGCUCGUUGGCGGGGUAAUGGUUUAUUAAGGCUAUGACGGGUAGCUGGUCUGAGAGGACGAUCAGCCACACUGGAACUGAGACACGGUCCAGACUCCUACGGGAGGCAGCAGUGGGGAAUCUUGCGCAAUGGGCGAAAGCCUGACGCAGCAACGCCGCGUGUGUGAUGAAGGUCUUCGGAUCGUAAAGCACUGUCGCGAGGGACG